rnacentral:misc_RNA from 1 species
CAAGUGAAAAUGCAAUCAAGAUUGGAAGAGGAGGAGGAAGCCAAGGCAGCUUUAAUGAGCCGGAUACAGAGGCUAACUAAACUGAUCCUUGUUUCUUCAAAGAAUUCAAUCCCUGGGUAUUUGGGUGAUGUUGCUGGGCAUCAGAGGAGCCAUUCUCCUCCUGAAGAUGAUAAGAUGGAUAGUUCUAUGCUUAUAGAUGGCGAGAAUCAGAAAGACCCUUCAGCAGAUACUUCUGAUCCGAAACACAGAAGAUCUUCUAGCAAGUGGAAUGAUGGUAUAUCUCAGGUGGGGAAUGCAAUCACUGAAUCAGCUCAGGAAGGAAUUUCUAUGUCUGAUCAGAUGGACCUUCUAGUUGAGCAAGUCAAGAUGCUUGCUGGAGAGAUUGCCUUCAGCACCAGUACAUUGAAACGCCUUGUUGAGCAAUCUGUUAAUGACCCCGAGAGUUCGCAAACACAAAUUCAAAAUUUAGAGUGUGAAAUUCAAGAGAAGAGAAAGCAAAUGAGGAUGUUGGAACAACAUAUUGUUGAAAGUGGUAAAGCAUCUGUUGCAAAUGCAUCCUUCGUCGAAAUGCAGCAGACUUUGAUGAAAUUGAUGACACAAUGUAGUGAGCAGAGUUUCGAGCUUGAGAUAAAAUCUGCAGAUAAUCGGAUUCUCCAGGAACAGCUGCAGAACAAGUGCUUAGAGAACAAGGAACUACAAGAAAAGAUUUGUCGUGUUGAACAGCAGCUAGCUGCAUUUAAGGCAGAACAAGCGAAUCCCUCAUCAGAAAGAUGUGUAUCUGAUGAAUAUAUUGAUGAGCUUAGAAGGAAAAUUCAGUCCCAGGAUGUUGAGAAUGACAAGCUAAAGCUGGAACAUAUUCAGCUUGCGGAGGAGAACAGUGGGCUGCAUGUGCAAAACCAGAAAUUGUCAGAGGAAGCUUCAUACGCAAAAGAAUUAGCAUCUGCUGCUGCUGUUGAACUGAAAAAUUUAGCUGCUGAAGUCACAAAGCUCUCAUUACAGAAUGCAAAACUGGAGAAAGAAUUGUUGGCUGCCCGAGAGAUGUCGAGAUCUAGGAGUUCCAAUGCACAAACUGGUAACGUCAGUAGCAGAAAGCAUGGUGAAAACAUAAGACCAGGGCGUAGAGGCCGGGUUUCUGGUCGAGUAAGUGAAAUUUCAGGAGGGAUUCAUGAUGACUUCGACACGUGGGACCUAGAUCCUGAAGAUCUAAAGAUGGAGUUGCAAGCAAGAAAACAACGUGAAGCAGUUCUUGAGGCUGCGUUGGCUGACAAGGAGAUUGUGGAAGAUGAGUACAGGAAAAAGGUAGAGGAGGGAAAGAAAAGGGAGGCUUCUUUGGAAAAUGAUUUGGCAAAUAUGUGGGUGCUCGUCGCUCAACUAAAGAAAGAGAAUAGUGCUAGGCAAGACUUGAAACUGGCAGCUGACUGUCAAUUAAGUGGAGAAGGCAAUAUGGUGAAUCCAGAAAUUAAUGUUGGUGACAACAAGGAUCUCAUCCCUGAUGUUAGCCAAGACGGGGUUCAUACAAAUGCAGCUGCUGAGAUUCUGAAGGAAGAACCUCUGGUGGCCCACUUGAAGGCUCGAAUGCAAGAAAUGAAGGAGAAAGAUAUACACUUGGGCAAUGGUGAUGCAAAUUCACAUAUAUGCAAAGUAUGUUUUGAGUCACCUACUGCUGCAAUGCUCCUUCCUUGCCGACAUUUUUGUUUGUGCAAGUCUUGUUCCCUGGCUUGCAUUGAGUGUCCAAUUUGUCGGACAAAAAUUGUAGAUAGGAUUUUUGCUUUUACUUGACUUUGCACUUCAAUUGCAUGGAAUGAUGGUGCAAAAAAAGGAGUUCAUUUAUUCUCGUCAACUUGCCAUAUUCUAUUAUAUUCUUUUAUUAGUUCCACUGUAUGUAAAUUUCCGGCUACCCUAUUCAAAUGCUAUAUCAUUUUUACAAUGUACUUAACCAAGGACUAUCAAAGAAAAAGACAAAGCAACAGAGGAAGUGAUGCAAAUUAGUAAAUCUGAAGUUCUCAGGAGUUGCUAUAUGAUCUCCUUGACCUUUAAAUGUAGUGUAUAGAACAGAUGUGUAAUACAAA